rnacentral:hammerhead_ribozyme from 1 species
AUCUAGCUGACGAGUCCCAAAUAUGACGAAACGCGCGUUCUGGAU